ensembl:snRNA U1 U1 spliceosomal RNA
AUACUGACCUGCCAGGGGACACACUGUAUUGGGAAGGUGGCCUUUCCUGGACAAAGCUCAUCCAUUGUACUCAAGUUGUGUUAACUCCUUCGAUUUCCACACAUUUGAAAAUCUUCACUGCAUAAUUUCUGUUAGUAGAGGACUAUGCUCACACUCUCCACUG